rnacentral:rRNA from 1 species
UGGGGGAUAUUGCACAAUGGGCGAAAGCCUGAUGCAGCGACGCCGCGUGGGGGAUGAAGGCUUUCGGGUUGUAAACCUCUUUCGCUAUCGAACAAGGCCCGCUUAGGGUGGGUUGAGGGCAGGUGGAGAAGAAGCGCCGGCUAACUACGUGCCAGCAGCCGCGGCAAUACGUAGGGCGCGAGCGUUGUCCGGAAUUAUUGGGCGUAAAGGGCUUGUAGGCGGCCUGUUGCGCCUGCUGUGAAAACGCGGGGCUUAACUUCGCGCGUGCAGUGGGUACUGGCAGGCUUGAGUGUCGUAGGGGUGACUGGAAUUCCAGGUGUAGCGGUGGAAUGCGCAGAUAUCUGGCGGAACACCGAUGGCGAAGGCAGGUCACUGGGCAAUUACUGACGCUGAGGAGCGAAAGCAUGGGUAGCGAACAGG